CAACCCCUCGGUUCCAGACUUGAAACAGGCCGGCUCCCAUCCCCCCUUGCCGCCUGGCUGCGUGCCCCGGCCCGAGGGGUCGCAGCCCAAGGGCGUCCCCCGCUGCUGGUCCCGGCCUCGCGCCCGCGCAUCCGAGUUCGCGCGGCCAGGCGGAGGGGGCGGCGGAGGGGGCGGCGGAAGGGGCGGCGGAGGGGGCGGCGGAGGGGGCGGCGGCCCGUCGCCGCGCGGGCUUUUCCCAUUCUGCGGCCGUCACAGCCACGCGGCGACCGAGCACGGCUGCCCUGUCUGGCUUCCACCUCAUUAGCGACGCCCGCCGGACUGAGACCCAUGGCGGUGGCCACGAACACCUCCCUCGUCCCAGGGAGCCAGGAGCGCGCGAAGCAACCUCUUGCCAUCUACGCCCUUCUGUCCUCUGGAAGCACGAAUCAUGUCCUGUUCUCUAAAGGUCAGCUCUAAACUGCUGGGUUUUAAAAGCGUUUCUUGUUUGGGAUCACUCCCUGGCACCCCGGGGCCUACCCCCGCAGUUCUUGCCUCUCCUGUUUCCCUUCAGGCAAAUCAAUGGCUUCCUCAUUGCCGCCGGAUUCCACCCAUCCCUCUCUCCCUUCUGAGUUUUGAAACACAUGCACGGAGCUAAAAGAGGGGCACUUGACCGACCCACCCCGUGGUCCCUUGAUCGUGCCCACAGGGUCCUCAAGAAGGAUGCUUCUCCUACAUCUUCGCAUUCAAAGGUGGUAUCUCUGCCUCCUCUCUAAAAGCCCCGUUGUCCCAAGAAACCUGGGUUAGAGCAACCAGAGAUCCUCAAAGGCACUCAUUUCUUUCAGCUUCAUUUUGCAAGGACGGGAACUGAGCACGGGAAGAAGAAAUGCUUCGCCCAGCUUAAUGUCUUUCUCUUAAAACAUUUUUAAAAACUUAAAAUUGGCUUGUGUGUGUUAAAAUAUAAAUCUCUAGUCCCUUGGUUUAGAGGAGAAGCAUAUGGCUGGGGGGUGGGAAAUGGGUCUCUCUUCUUUUUAAAUCUGCCCUGAAUUGCCUCUGGAUUGUCCUCACCUGGAGGCUCAAGUGUAGGUGGGCAAGGUCAUCGGAGGGGUCGGAGGUCAUCGGAGAGCACAGAUUUUACUUGCACACAGUCGUUCGGGGAGUCCUGCGUCUGCAUCAGCAGAAUAUAGGGUUCUGUACGGAGACGAUUCCCUUCAAGCUGUGGCUACAGAUGGAAACACAGCAAGGGCUGGGGCAGGCAGGGCUUUCUCAUCGCCGGUGAGGGUCUCACACCAAGGGUGGUUGAGCACGUCCAAGCAGACACCCCGUU
rnacentral:lncRNA from 12 species